GUUCCCUGGCUCCCCUUUGUCUCCCCACUCCCCGCCCAGGCCUGGCCCGCCUGCCUGGCCACUCUCCCCUCCAUCAGCCUGGCUGGCAGGAGCCUGGGACUCCGCCCGAGGAGCCCUGGGCCUGCUGACCCCCCAGCCUAGGAGCACUCGUCAAGCUCUGGGUCAACGUGGAGGUGCCGGGCCACCAUGCUCAGCCUCAAGCUGCCCCAACUCCUUCGAGUCCACCAGGUCCCCCGGGUGUUCUGGGAAGACGGCAUCGUGUCUGGCUACCGCCGGCCCAGCAGCUCGGCCUUGGACUGCGUGCUCAGCUCCUUCCAGAUGACCAACGAGACGGUCAACAUCUGGACUCACUUCCUGCCCACUUGGUGAGGGGAGGCCC